rnacentral:rRNA from 1 species
AGUGAACGCUGGCGGUAGGCCUAACACAUGCAAGUCGAACGGCAGCACAGUAAGAGCUUGCUCUUACGGGUGGCGAGUGGCGGACGGGUGAGGAAUACAUCGGAAUCUACUUUUUCGUGGGGGAUAACGUAGGGAAACUUACGCUAAUACCGCAUACGACCUACGGGUGAAAGCAGGGGAUCUUCGGACCUUGCGCGAUUGAAUGAGCCGAUGUCGGAUUAGCUAGUUGGCGGGGUAAAGGCCCACCAAGGCGACGAUCCGUAGCUGGUCUGAGAGGAUGAUCAGCCACACUGGAACUGAGACACGGUCCAGACUCCUACGGGAGGCAGCAGUGGGGAAUAUUGGACAGUGGGCGCAAUCCUGAUCCAGCCAUACCGCGUGGGUGAAGAAGGCCUUCGGGUUGUAAAGCCCUUUUGUUGGGAAAGAAAAGCAGCAGGUUAAUACCCCGCUGUUCUGACGGUACCCAAAGAAUAAGCACCGGCUAACUUCGUG